rnacentral:rRNA from 1 species
UGCGUAGGCGGGAGAAUAAGUCAGAGGUGAAAUCUGGUCGCUUAACGAUCAAAUUGCCUUUGAAACUGUUUUUCUUGAAAUAUGAUGAGGUUGGCAGAAUGUGACAUGUAGCGGUGAAAUGCAUAGAUAUGUCAUAGAAUACCAAUUGCGAAGGCAGCUGACUGGUCAUUAUUUGACGCUGAGGCACGAAAGCGUGGGGAGCGAACAGGAUUAGAUACCCUGGUAGUCC